rnacentral:rRNA from 1 species
AUUGAACGCUGGCGGCAGGCCUAACACAUGCAAGUCGAGCGGAUGAAGGGAGCUUGCUCCUGGAUUCAGCGGCGGACGGGUGAGUAAUGCCCAGGAAUCUGCCUGGUAGUGGGGGAUAACGUCCGGAAACGGGCGCUAAUACCGCAUACGUCCUGAGGGAGAAAGUGGGGGAUCUUCGGACCUCACGCUAUCAGAUGAGCCUAGGUCGGAUUAGCUAGUUGGUGGGGUAAAGGCCUACCAAGGCGACGAUCCGUAACUGGUCUGAGAGGAUGAUCAGUCACACUGGAACUGAGACACGGUCCAGACUCCUACGGGAGGCAGCAGUGGGGAAUAUUGGACAAUGGGCGAAAGCCUGAUCCAGCCAUGCCGCGUGUGUGAAGAAGGUCUUCGGAUUGUAAAGCACUUUAAGUUGGGAGGAAGGGCAGUAAGUUAAUACCUUGCUGUUUUGACGUGACCAACAGAAUAAGCACCGGCGAACUGCGU